CUCCGUGCCGUGAGGUGUCGGGUUAAGUCCCAUAACGAGCGCAACCCCUACUGCUAGUUGCCAGCGGGUCAUGCCGGGGACUCUAGCGGAACUGCCAGCGUAAGCUGCGAGGAAGGUGGGGAUGACGUCAAAUCAGCACGGCCCUUACGUCCAGGGCUACACACGUGUUACAAUGGCCAGUACAGAGGGCAGCCACCCCGCGAGGGGGCGCUAAUCCUAAAAGCUGGUCCCAGUUCGGAUCGGAGUCUGCAACCCGACUCCGUGAAGCUGGAUUCGCUAGUAAUCGCGCAUCAGCCACGGCGCGGUGAAUACGUUCCCGGGCCUU
rnacentral:rRNA from 1 species